rnacentral:lncRNA from 1 species
GGAUGGUGUACAUAUCCUGAACAAAGAAAUUAACUUUUCCUUGUACUCUUCCUUUGUAGCCUGUCGAGUCUUUUGGUGAGAGGAAUGAUAAUCCUUCUAGCAGCACUUCAUGAACGGAAAUCAUUCUCUAGGAUGAUGAUGACAUGCCAGUUCUUGGUAUAUGGACAUGAGUCCUGAGAUCCCACACAUGGAUACAUGAAAGGACUGCACACUGUGCUGAAGAUUGGGGAGAAGAUACCCUUGAGUGAAAGGUGGAACCUUUUUUUCCUAAUGGCUGCCUUGAGUGUUUCCUCCAUAGAUCUUUUUCCCUGUCUUGAAAACAUAUCCUUGGCGUGCUGGGCUGUAAAUCCUUGAAGGAAUAGCAUGGUCUAGGUGGAAGUUGGUCGGCUUUGUCCUUUUUCCAUGAGCCAAGACUGAAGAAUUACUGAAAUGUUGUAACUAUCAAUCGGUGUCCUCGUGCUGUUCAGCACUUGUAAUGCUGGCACUGAACCUGGGCUGUGUGGCAGAUAAGGCUGUCCUCUAUCAGAAAAAUAUGGGAAUAUAUGGAGAUGUCAGAAGGAAUGCUGGUCUCUCCACUCACCCUUGGCUCUGUAAUUUCAUCAUCCAGCCAUGGAGGAUCUGUGCAGGCACACCUGGCCAAGCAACAAAGAAUUUGGUCUUGCUAGAAUCUGCUUGAGAAAUGGCACUGCUCCAUUUUCCCACUUCAUCAAACCUCCAAAGGCAUCCCAAACUCACCCAUGGCUUACCUCCAUGGUAAGGGGUGAACAGACUUAUGGAAGCUCCAAACUGCACAGGACCCCUGGGCAGAGCCCUCCUAUUCCUACAGGAGAUCUCCAGCCUCACUGUGGAGAGAAAGAGAGAGGCUGA